UUAUGAUGAUUAUUUCAAUUUAUUAGUUGUUUAAUUCCAUUAUUUAUGUGUUUUGGCAUGGAUGUUAUGGGGAAAAGGCAAUUGAGAGGAAUCUUACUACUGAUGCCGAGGUUGGUAGGGCUGAGGUGUACAUCCGAACCCAUACAACAAAGGAUAACAAAGUGCAGUUUCUAGAAACCUUUAAAAAAAUAAAAUCAAUUCAAAGUAGUAAUCCUGCAUCUCGGAUAACCAGUGUAGAUGAUGCCCUUACACAGUCAAUUGGGAGUGAUAGUAGAGGGCGCAUGCGGGCGAUAGGUGGAAAUGUAGGCAAGAUUGCGUUGAAGAAGACAAUGCCUAUUGUACAUAAGCUUGGUGC